UUAUGUCUCCAAAACCAGCAGCAGUGACAAACAGUCUCUGAGCUCAUAAUUAUGGGCUGGCCACUAAAUGAGAUACUCACAAUGCUAAGAAAUACAAGAAAUACUCUCCUUAUGCCCUUUGGGCUAUUUUUCAGGUAGUCAGUCACAGCUGUUAUCACCCAUAUUUUAGGGGUAAGAAAAUCGAGGUGAACCCAAGAAGAGUUCAGUGAAAGAAAAAGCCUACAGCUCAACUACUCUUUAUCCUGUGCCCUGGGCUUCCUCCAGAGAUAUCCCGGAGCCUCCAGCUGUGGCCCAGACCCCGGAUUCCCUGGUUGGAGCCCCGGCGGUGUAAAUGGGGCCUCCAUUUGCGCCUCAGGCCGUGAAACCAUUCGGUCUCCAGGGUGGCGUUGGCCAAGUGGUGAGCAGAAGAGGACAGGUUCUGUAGGAGGAUGCGGCUUUCCCCUCGAGUGGCCUGAAGGAAGACCUGGGGGGCUGGAGAGGACAGUGACUCGGUGCUGAAGGUAAUGGCUGCCCGUGAGAUACUGGGCUCAUCUUCAAAGAGGCUACGGAUCAGCGCCUGGUACCACUCCAGGUCGUCCUGCAAGUUCUGCUCUAGUGACUUAUUGAUCAUGUUGAGGAAGUUGGUGGCGUAGAUAAGCGUGUCCAUCGCCCCGUGCAAGGAGGGGUGCAGGCUGACCAUGGCGGGGGAUUUCCCCGGCAGGCCCGCUGCCAGCUCGAAGCGGCCGGAGCAAUUGGUUCGCUUCAGUUCAUGGGAGUCCCCUGUGUAGAGGUAAGAGGCCACCUCCGUGGGUACCUCCUCGGAGAGUUUCUGCGCCAAGAUGGUGCCGUCGAUGGACCGGCUCCAGAGAGUCGAAGAAUCUGAAUCUCUGGUGGGCUGAUGGCCAUGCUGCUUCCCUCUAAGGGUCCUCUCUCUAUGGGGUUCCAGGCGCCCCGGUGGGUCACGGCUGGAUCCGGCAGCUCCCAGUCCCAGUUGAGCAAGCAGGAGGCAAAGGAGUAAGGGGUAAACCAUGUCUCUUGGCUGUCUCGGAGUGAGGGGAGCAGAGGUGAUGGGAAGUCACUUUUCAAUAUUUUUUUAUUAAUAAUCACAAUAGUAUUACUAUUGUUGGUCUUCCUUUCUACAGAUGAUAUCAAGGAGAGGAGAUGGAGAUUUUAAAAAUAAGAAAUUUUAAAAAUAGCCUGGAUCUCAAAGCAACUGUAAGCAGGGAACCAAGUCACCUGUGGCAAUGCUGACUGCGAUCUCCUCUCCACAAUAGGCUAGCCCUGGGGAUUACGCACCUCGCAGCCUUGAUCUGAGCAGGUUACAUCCCAUCUCGCUACACGGCAGCUAUAGUUAGCCUGCUUACGUCUUUAUCCCCAUCCGUUUCCACUGCCGCUUUCAUUGAGGUGUGUUAACGAGAUGCUUCUGCUGCUGCCGCCUGCAAGCGCCGCUCCAUCAUCUAACCAGUGGCAGGUUCUCCCCCUCUUCACCCCCCCUCCCCAACUCAAGCUCCUCCUCAUUCACUUCCCACGGAGACUCGGAUUGCGCGCGCGCGCACACACACACACACACACACACACACACACACACACACACACACUGCAAGAAAAUCUGAAGAAGCAAAGAUAUUUUCGAGAAAGAGGGGAAACGGUGUGCAUGUCUCUGUGAAAAAAAGGAUGCAUAAAUGGCUGGUUGAUUGAAGUACAUUGGUUUGGCCAAGAAAAUAUACUUCCCUCCUUCCAGUACUGGCUGGGUUUUUUUUUUUUUGGGGGGGGGGGGAGGAGGUUAGCGAUGUCUGUUAACUAGGCACUUUAGCCACAACCAACCCCUUAUUAACGCUCAGAGGGGCCUUGUAGGUCGGUAUCCAGUCACCUCGCUCCGUGAAUGGUCGAUUCAUCUGUCAAUCAUCAAGCUUCCUUUCACCGGGCAGGCAUAGGGAGCUGUCCAGUGCUGAACCUGAGAGGCUACAAGGCGACUGCAAAGGGUCAACUGGGUGAGGGAGGUGGGGUAUUAAGGGAAAGGAAAGAAGGCGAGGAGAUAAGGAAGCAGAGAAAGAGAAGGAAGUAGGGAAAAAGGAGGAGAGGGGAGGGGGAGGAGAAGGCGGAAGAAGAUGAAAAAGGGGGUGGGGGGGAAGAGGAUGAAGAGAAAUUCCAAAAGAUAUGAAAUCCUGAGGGAAAGAUCAGAGAUUUGGAAUCUUACCAAGCAAACCUAGUUUGAGAACAAUGUUGACAUUUCCACAUUCUCAAUUAAAGCAGACUUUUGCUCUGGGAUUCCUGUAUAAAGACAUGGAGGGGAAGAAUAAGUAGACUUGGUUUCUACCUCAAAAAAAAAAAUAAGGGAAACAGUUUCCCAUGCAUCUGCUCAUUUUAAGCAAAUUAUUAAAACAUCUUCCUUGGUUUUGAUUAAAAAAUAAAAACAACUACUUUCUGGGGCUAGCCCUAAGUAUGAGCAAGUAAUGGAGACAUCUGCUGGCAAACCCUAAAAACUGAAACUUAGAAUAUUCUUAGACAAGGGGAUAGGGCAGGCAGCAAAGAAGUUGUAGGGCCGGGUAGUUAUAGAAGCAAUAUAAAAAGGGCCUAUGUGUUGUGGGUAAAUAAUUUCUUAUACUGUUCAGGAAACAAUAUUAUAAUGCUUAAACCCAACCUUCCGUAAUUAAAGUUGUCCAUCCCAGAAUGUCCUUUGACACCAAGUAACUCUCUAGAAAUGCCAGAAAUAGCUAUAAGGUAUUUUCAAUUCCCCCAGGCCAUAGAUACACCCAAAGCAUACUUGUUUUAGGUGAGCACACCUAGGAAUUCCUGAUGGGUCUACCCCAAGCUUCUAUUUAGGGCUACAAUUACUCAUUUCUACCUCCAUCUACCUUGAUUUUAGGCUGCCCUCUUAGCAAAAUUGUUAAACUGAAUACAUGGGGUUCCUGUUUGGAAAACCUUUGUCAAAAUCCUCCUCCAUAAUGUAAAUCUUCCAGGAUCUGGAAAGAGCCACCCCUCUUUUCUGGCUCAUUCCCUCUACAAAAUGACCUAAUAAAUUUAUUUCUAAAACUA